AAAAGCAGUCCGAGGCCAUUAAGUACGAUACUCCCUAAAGGCAUUAACAUGUUAGCGUGCAGCACUAGUCAGUGUGAUCGAAUAAAAAAACAUUCAGUGAAAAGACAAAAAAAGACUAUAAAUUAGGACAACUCACUUAACUUCACUGGUCCUCCAUUGCCUCAUUGUACUUCAGUAUUCGUCCAUUGUAACUUUGGGCAACUCUCUUCACUGGUCCUCCGUUGCAUCAUCUCUAAAACGAGAAGGUGGACUGCAUUGUCCGUAAAAACCCUGUGAGUUCCAGUUUUCUGAGACCCAGUGUUCAUAAUGAGACCCAGGGUCAUCAAAUAUGACCCAGGGUCAUAUCAAAUGAAGUUUGAUAUGCAGUUGUUGAAGACGACCAGGAAGUAUAUAAUCAAUAAUAGAAAGAUUUUUUAAAACAACCUUUGGUACCUGUAGGCACAGAUUUUAGUUAUCUAGUAUGUGGAACAACUUAACAUCCUUAAUAUUAAGGUGGCAGAUAACUGAGACUUUCUUAAAUCAUUAUCUUUAUCAAUGAUUAAGGAUUAAUUAUGUUAUUAAUGAUUAAUUAUAGUGGAAAUACUAAACAGUUUCCACAUUUUUCAAAAGCUCUGUAGAAUGUCUCUCCUGACUACUCUCUAGGAUAAUAAUGAAAUUAUGAAAAGAAGUCAUAAGGCAAAAACAUUCUGAGAAAUAUUGAAAACCAGUACUUUAGUGAGAGUAUUAAAAUCCACCUUUGAUAGCAUAAAAAUGACUGAUACUUGAUAUUCUUGCAGCCUAUGCCAUUGGCAUGAUUCUUACAUUUGUUGUUCUGGUGCUGAUGAAAAAGGGGCAACCUGCUCUCCUCUAUUUAGUACCUUGCACACUCAUUACUGCCUCACUUGUUGCCUGGAGACGAAAGGAAAUGAAAAAGUUUUGGAAAGGUAGCAGCUAUCAGAUGAUGGACCAUCUGGACUCUGCAACAAAUGAAGAAAACCCUGGGACUGCUGGUGAACAGAUUGUCCAACAAUAAUAUUAUGUGGAUGUGCAAUAAUGUGUCGAUUGAUUUUCUACAAAUAGAGUUUGACUUUUUAAAUUGACUUUUGAAUUGACAAUCUGAAAGAAACUUCAAUGAUAUGCUUGCAAAUAUGUAUCUGUAAGAGCUGGUACUGACAAUUACAUGAUAAAUAAUUAAAAUACAAUUGCUUUUAACUAUGUUAAAGUUGUGCCUUCACAUUAAAUAAAAGCAUAUGGUCUGUGUAAUUUUCAGGAUGUAUUAUAUAUAGUAUAUUUUUAUAAAAAAAAAACUCUUCACCCACCCCUGUACUUGUCUUAUUAAAGUCUGUUUCUUUCAACUCUAAUGAUAGAUAAAAGUAUUUGUCAAAGUGAAUUUCUGAGCAGAUUUUACUGUAAAGAAUUAUGCAAACUUUAUGCUCUAUAAAACUAACUGUUUAAGAUCAUUCAAGAAGGCAGUUCAGCAGAGGAAUUUUGGACCUUUUAUCACUGCAGAGGUUAGAAAUACAUGAUUUGGGAAUACAGAUAAAAGUGUAUUUUUGUAGCAUAAGUUUUAAAAAAUCCCACUCCUUUUUUAAACUUGAGAACCUAAAUUACUUCAGAUUACAUAUGUGUUAUAUUAGAAUAUUUUUCCAUUUAUAGAAAAACAUAUAAAACUAGUCAUUUGAAAGGAAACAAAAAUUGAAAUCCACAUUUUUCAGUGGUCUUCUGUUUCCUUGAAGAUGUAGCUUAAAUUUCUAAACUAACCUGUAAUUCCACUGUGGUAUUUCUGAUCUCUGAAGUUUGGAUCUGCUAAUGUUAAGACUUAAUAUUUUGUAAAAAUUAUUUUUCUUAGCAAAUUAUAUAUUAAUACAUAUGACUCAUUGCUUGAGUACUAACAUCUCUAAUAAUCCCUUCCUCUAUCUUUCCCCUUCCCCCAAUUCCUACUCCUUUCCCCAUGGGAGACCACUGUUAGCUUUUUAAAAUUUGGGUGAAGCAUGGUUUACUAAUAUACAAACUGUGCUUCAGAGGAAAGAAUUGGAGACAGAAGACAAGAUACUGGGUGUUAGUCUCAAUUUAAUUACAAAAUUUGAGUAAAUUUUAUUAGCUCAAUGCAGUUGUAUCUGUUUUCUCAUCUGCAAAAUGAGUUUGUUAAACCAAGUAAUAACUCUGCUACCGUCUAACUUGAAAAAAUUUUCUUUCUUUGUUCAAUCUCAUAUGUGAACUUGAACAUUAUCCUGCAAGUCAUAGGUCAAAUUGUCUAUUUUCUUUUCUCUUAAGAAAUCCCCAAAUGAAAAGUGGUUGCAAAGAUAGCAAGAUUUUGUAUUUCUCUGUAAAUAAUGUAUAAGAUACGUGAACACAUCUACGAUUUUUCAUUCUAAGGCCAGUUUAACUGAUUAAAAGAUAAAGUUAACACCUUUCAAAAAUGGAUCAAACCUUUGAUGUUUGACCUAAGUUUAACACUUGAGGGAAUUAUAUGCUUUUGAUUCAUUGAUAUCUUCCCAGAUUGUUAAGUUACUGAGUAAUUUAUAGAUAUAGAAGCUCCCUUGACAGCCCUUCUUUCUACUUAAUAGACUUAUGGGUCACUUGGUUUAUGGCAAAUGACAAAUAACUAUCUGACAAGUAAGAGUUCAUGUUGAUUUUGCCUCCAUAAUAUCGUUUGACUUUUUUCCAAAGAAUCUAAUUUAUUUGGCAGACUCGGAUAGAGAGAAGAACAGAUUAAGUGCCAGGUGAAAGCUCCCAACUAUAUUUUCGUUUAUAAUAUCAAUAAAAUGUUUGCCAAAAAUACAGGUUUCUUAAGUAAAGUUAUCUGCACUCUUAUUCCAGCUUUAGGAUAUUCAAAAACUUUGACCACAUAUUACGAAGAAGCUACAGAAAAUUUUAUACCUAAAAAACUGGAAUUUUAGUUCUUUGAUACAAAUUCUACUUUAUCCAACCACUAGUAAGAAGGUAAAAUCUUGUUCUAGUUUGCUAUUUAAACCUUACUGAUUAAAUAGAAAAAACAAAAAGUGAAAUUCCUUGAGUUUCUUUGUCUUCAGUGUCAACUUUGUAUUACUUAAUCCUAGCAACUGAACUGAAAAUAUUUAUAAAAAUUACAGUAAAGUGCAGAAAUAUUUUAUUUGGGGAAUCAAAAUAUGAACAGAGGAUAGGAAAGAUGAAAGUUUGCAUUUAGAAGACUAUCAUUUUUUCUCAAACUGUAGAAGUAGAUGAUUUUUACUUCAUUUCAACAAAGGUAAACAUGAGUUUUGUGGGAAAGGACUUUGAAAUUCUGCUACAUUGUUUUCUUCUAGCUUCUAGAUUUUUUUUAGACUAGCAAUAUCUUAUUUGUAGACUCAGCGAUUUAUUUUUCUUUUGAAGGAAGAAAGUUUUAACCCUUCUGUUGGCAUUCACUGAUUUUAGUUACAUGUUCAUAGAGAUUUUGAUGAAAUGGUACAUUUGUAGUAAAUACAAAUGAGCUUUUCAGUUUUCCUUUGCUCUUUUAAUUUCUGCCUUGUGUGUGUACGUGCUGUCACUUCAGUCAUGUCUGACUCUGCAACCCUAUGGGCCAUAGCCCACCAGGCUCUUCUAUACAUGGGAUUCUCCAGGCAAGAAUACUGGAGUGGGUUGCCAUGCUCUCCUCCAGGGAAUCUUCCCGACCUAGGGAUCAAACCUGCGUUUCUUGUGUAUCCUGCAUCACCAGGCAGGUCCUUUACCACGAGCGCCACCUGGAAAGCCCAAUUUCUGCCUUAGGUAUAAGCAAAAUUUAUUUUCAUAUUUGAACUAAUUUAUUUAAGAUUUGUCUCUAAAAUUUCAACCUAAUCUCAGUUAAUGAGACUUCAAAAAUAGAAAUUGCUUUUCAAACUAGUGGAUUAUACUAGUUUGAAGGCUUUGUAUUUUCCCAUUAACAAGGGAAAAUGCUGAAUUUAUUCAAGAUGAUGCCAGAUAACCAGUUUUGCAGUUUAAAAAUUUGUUGAUGUUUUCAGUGCUCUAUUUACCUCAGAGGUAACUCUAAAGGGGGUUGGGGAGGGUAAUGAAAAUAAAAUAAAAAUCCUGGACAAAAAAUCAUUUUAUGCUUCCUGCAAGAAAGAUACUCUGUAAAUUCAGGAGAUCUGAGUCAAGUUACUGAACAUUUUGGAAUCUGAAAGAAAUGUGGUACUUAUGAUUUGAUCAUAAGAGUAUUAUAGUGGCCAUAUUACAGUAAAGAUGAUAAAUGUCCUUGUUUAAGGUUUCCAUAAUUAAGGACAGCUUUUGUAUCUAAGAAAAUGUUCAUUGGGGGAAAAAAUUUUAAACUAGGUUUUUUAGAAUAGUCUUACAUUGUUGGCAAUUAAGGGACAACUAAAAAAAAUGUGGAAUAUUUAAUGUCAUGUAUUUCUUUGAUUAGGCAUAAAAUGUAUCAUAAACAACUGCUUUCCCUUCAGAAUAUGGAUUUUUUUUUCAAUAUCUAAAAUUUACCUGGUCAGCCUAUAGGAUUUCCCAGUGAGACAAGUCAGUAUAAAUUAGGUGGGUUUUGCCCUUUUAUACCUUCUGUUGUCUUUUUAUCACAUGAGAACCUAUUUUAAAAUACAUGAUUGAAUUUUUACUUCUUAAAAUUUUGUGUGGAAUUCUUUUCUUUUAACCCUUUGAUAUGUUAGUGUAAAUUAGUACUUUUAUAAUACUACUAGGCUUUAUUUUUUUAUGGAACAUGAUUUAAAAAUUUUCAACGUGUUAAUUUGGCAGUGCUUUAAAUCUCUUCAUUAUGUGCCAAUACUGACAAGAAAAAGUUUUUUUAAUGUAUUGAAUUCACUGUGUAUUCAAUAAAUUCUAUUUUAAAAUAAAA